UAUUACCCUGUCAGUAGGGUAAGAACCUGUUUAAUCCAGUCUUCAGUCAAGGGUUUCCUCAGGGGUUAACCACAGCCUGCAGAUUGUGUACUGGCAGCAAAAUGUCACCUUGGGGCCCCCCAGCACCAACGCUCCUUAAACCAAGCCCCACAGAGAAGUCAUUUCGUUGAUGGGAACGUGACUUUGCGGCUUCCUGGGCCGCUACGGUGAAGGACGCCCGCCCUCCCCAGAACUUGAGAGCUUAUUGGUUGAUGAUGUCGUCACUCAGAUUAACGUCAGGGGCGAGAAAAGAGACGGAGCCGUAGAGACUUGGCUUCGGGCCCUUCUAGCAUGGAGGUCCCUAUGUUAACUAGUUGAGACAAAAAUAAAUAUGGCCUUCUACAGUUAUAAUUCAGUCUUAGCUAUUGCUCGAACAAGAUUCUCCAGCCAUUUUGUCCAUCCUAUCUGCUCUUUUUAUUCCCCAUCAUGUGCAUUUCUUCACUUGCCAGAUUCCCAUUUAAAUAAGACAUGUCUGGAGAACUAUGGGAGCAAGAAGUACUCAGAUCCUAGUCAUCCAGGCAAUACCAUACUUCACUCACGAACUAGACUAAUACAAAAGCUACACACAUCCACUUGCUGGCUGCGAGAGGUUCCUGGCAAACCUCAGCUGGAGCAAGCCACAAAAGAUCCACAGGUGACAAGCCCUCAGGCCACAAAAGAAACUGGCGCAAAGAUUAAAGAAGGCGAGCAAUCUUAUAGACAAAAAAUCAUGGAUGAACUUAAAUAUUAUUACAAUGGAUUCCACUUACUUUGGAUUGACACCAAAGUUGCUGCCAGAAUGGUUUGGAGGCUAUUGCAUGGACAGGUCCUGACCAGACGAGAGAGACGAAGGCUGUUGAGAACUUGUGUUGAUUUCUUCCGCCUGGUUCCAUUUAUGGUGUUCAUAAUUGUACCCUUCAUGGAAUUCUUAUUACCAGUGUUUCUGAAACUCUUCCCAGAGAUGUUGCCAUCAACUUUUGAAAGUGAAUCCAAAAAGGAAGAAAAACAGAAAAAGAAAAUGGCUGCAAAGUUGGAAAUAGCAAAAUUUCUUCAAGAAACCAUGACAGAAAUGGCAAGGAGGAACAGAGCCAAGAUGAAUGAUGCUUCUACACGGCUCUCAUCCUACGUGAAGCAGGUCCAGACAGGCCACAAGCCCAGCACAAAGGAGAUAGUUCAAUUUUCCAAACUAUUUGAGGACCAGCUAGCCCUGGAGCACCUAGAUCGCCCUCAGCUGGUUGCCCUUUGCAAACUGCUGGAAUUGCAGACUUUUGGAACCAACAACCUGCUACGCUUUCAGCUCCUGAUGAAACUGAAGUCUAUAAAAGCAGAUGAUGAAAUAAUUGCCAAGGAAGGGGUGAAGGCAUUGAGUGUAUCAGAACUACAGGCUGCCUGUAGAGCCCGAGGGAUGAGAUCACUGGGUCUCACGGAGGAACAAUUGCGACAACAGCUCACAGAGUGGCAGGACCUCCACCUGAAGGAGAACGUCCCUCCUUCCCUUUUGCUCCUGUCCCGUACCUUCUACCUGAUAGAUGUGAAGCCCAAGCCAAUUGAGAUACCACUCAGUGGAAAGGAUGAAGACUUUAUACAGUCGCCACCAGUUACAUCAUCACCCACAACACCAUCAACACCUCUUUCAUUACCUAAAGGAUCCAUCACUACUUCUAAAGAAGCUACACUCCAGGCCAAAUCACAAAAGACAGAACAGCAAGGCUAGUUCAAAGGAGCAUAAGGACUACUUGAGGAUGGAGCUCACUCUCUCCAGCUUCUGGCCCUCAACAGUGGAAUUUUUAAAGGACCUCCCAGCUAAAACUCUGGCUUCAGAGUGAGGAUCAGCCGUUUAGCCCAUGGGAUAGUCCUUUGAGGCCUUGUAACCAUUCCAGGUGAUGUGAGUAGUGAGACCAAGUUCAGAUCAUUUAGAAAAAUAUAAUUGCAAAGUCCCAUUCCUCUGCACCAUUACUACCCCACUCAACCUUGUGUAAAGCCCACCCCCCACCAUUUUGUUUUUUAACAGCUUCUUGUGUACAUCCUUUGAGAGAGGAAAUUUUUUUGCAUAAUGGAAUCAGAUUUCUCUGUCUCCUAUGGCUUGGAAUUCUAAGUAAGAACUUGGAAGCUCCAAAAACCAUUUUAAAAGCACCUGAUUAACUUUCUGAAUGACCUAUCAGUAGGAUCAGCACCCUGGAAACAAAGUACCUUAUGAGAUGGGAUGGAUAUACUCCUCAGUAAGAUCUUUUCUGGAUAUAAUGAAGAGAAGCUUCUUGCAGAAAAUGGAGAGUUAAACAUUAGCAAGCAGAAAAGAUAUGGCUGCUUAGUUGUUCUGACAUCCUCCUCUUGGGCCUGCAGAGGCUGCAGGAAUCUGAGCCACUCUUCUAGCACAUAUGGCUUUCAUUAGCCACCAUUUUGCGAGGAAGCGUAAUUAAGGGUUUAAACCUUAACCAUUUGUUUGUGUUGGGGGCGUGUUUCUGGUUAGUUUGUCUUUCACAAACAAGACUAUUAGUCAUAGGGGUUGUUAAGGUCUGCUAUAAUCCCUGUACUACCCAGCAACAAGUAUUACAUUAGGAAACUUAUGUUUGGUGUUUUCAGGAUUGCUAAUACUACGUAACAGACAGAUUGCCAGGCAGCCAAGAGUUUUCUUCCCUUGGGGAGUGGUUAGAAACAUCUGCUUGCCAAUGUUUAACUCUCCAUUUUCUGCAAGAAGCUUCUCUUCAUUAUAUCCAGAAAAGAUCUUACUGAGGAGUAUAUCCAUCCCGUCUCAUAAGCAACUGAUGCCUCCCAGCCACCUGGAGCAUCUUACCCGAUGGGUAAAUCUCUGGUAAUGACCCUUUUAAAAAGACAUGUAAAUAUAUACUCAGAUUUA